rnacentral:rRNA from 1 species
GACGAACGCUGGCGGCGUGCUUAACACAUGCAAGUCGAACGGAAAGGCCCUGCUUUUGUGGGGUGCUCGAGUGGCGAACGGGUGAGUAACACGUGAGUAACCUGCCCUUGACUUUGGGAUAACUUCAGGAAACUGGGGCUAAUACCGGAUAGGAGCUCCUGCUGCAUGGUGGGGGUUGGAAAGUUUCGGCGGUUGGGGAUGGACUCGCGGCUUAUCAGCUUGUUGGUGGGGUAGUGGCUUACCAAGGCUUUGACGGGUAGCCGGCCUGAGAGGGUGACCGGCCACAUUGGGACUGAGAUACGGCCCAGACUCCUACGGGAGGCAGCAGUGGGGAAUAUUGCACAAUGGGCGGAAGCCUGAUGCAGCAACGCCGCAUGCGGGAUGACGGCCUUCGGGUUGGAAACCGCUUUCGCCUGUGACGAAGCGUGAGUGACGGUAAUGGGUAAAGAAGCACCGGCUAACUACGU